rnacentral:rRNA from 1 species
GACGAACGCUGGCGGCGUGCUUAACACAUGCAAGUCGAACGCUGAAGCUCAGCUUUUGUUGGGUGGAUGAGUGGCGAACGGGUGAGUAACACGUGAGUAACCUGCCCCCUUCUUUGGGAUAACGCCCGGAAACGGGUGCUAAUACUGGAUAUUCACUGGUCUUCGCAUGGGGGUUGGUGGAAAGGGUUUUUCUGGUGGGGGAUGGGCUCGCGGCCUAUCAGCUUGUUGGUGGGGUGAUGGCCUACCAAGGCUUUGACGGGUAGCCGGCCUGAGAGGGUGACCGGUAACAUUGGGACUGAGAUACGGCCCAGACUCCUACGGGAGGCAGCAGUGGGGAAUAUUGCACAAUGGGCGCAAGCCUGAUGCAGCGACGCCGCGUGAGGGAUGGAGGCCUUCGGGUUGUGAACCUCCUUCGCUCAUGGUCAAGCCGCAACAAUGGUUGUGGUGAGGGUAGUGGGUAAAGAAGCGCCGGCUAACUACGUG